CUUUUUUAAUCUUUUCCUCCCACCCUUUCUCCUUUUAAUGUUUUCUUUGUGAUUGUUUUUGUAAGUUUGUUUUAAAAGUUCACAGCAUGCUUUCUUUUCUUGUAGACUAGGAGACCGUGAUCUCACCCUGACGCACAGGAUCCCUUGCAACCACAUCAUGAGAGCAGUGCACCGGGAUCCUGAGAAGCUGCUUUCCUAAGGGAGGGGAUCCCUGAGCUGGGUACAUGGAGAAUUCAUGGUGACCUGCCUCUUCUCUUCCAGCACCCCUUCUUAUGGUAGCCAUGGAGAUCAAAGUUACCCCAGCAGGACUGACACCAUACACAGCAGUGGCACUUACCCUCAGCCCUGUAUGCUGAAGAUUGGCAGUGGCCCUCCUGAUGCCCACUUGGUCACCCUGAAUAUGAGACCUGGUGAUGACAGUGGCCAGACCAUUCUUGGCUGAUCAUCCUGUAAGGGAAAGAAAAACUCCAGAAAGGAAAGAAAAGCCAACUGCCAUAGAAGAAAGAUUAAACUGUUUUCUAGCCUGUGCACUACAGACUUGAAGGAAAAUAAGGGAUGAACCUGGGCUCCUCCUUUUUGGCAAUAUGGAACGCUUGAUAGCAAGAGAAAAACUUGCUAUAGAAGAUUUAGUGCUGUGGUGUACAGCCUAAAUCACACAGCAGAGCAGGAGACAAAUUCUGCCUGUGUUCAAGGUAGGUGGUCAGAUCAAAGACAGCUACAUACAGUCAGCAACCCUGCCUGGGAGAAGUGUUCUGGGAGAAAACACACACCACAGGGAAAAUGUAAUGCCUUUUUAUUUGCUCUUUGGCUCUAGAUGGUGGGAAUAACAGAAGAAAGAUUCUUUAAGAAUUUCUAAAAUAAAUCACUGCAUGAAUUCUGGAAUUAAAUUUACACUACUAUUCUGAUUUGAAAAUCCCCAUGAAAAUUUGUGAUGGUUUCAGGUGGUAAUUCUUAUGUGCCUAGCAGAAUUUAACUAAAUCUCCCUUGGAAGGUCUAUGUUAAAUUCAGACUUAAAAUACUCGAAUAGAUAAAGCUCUAGGGACCGUAUACUUGCCACCAAAAAUUACAAAUCACAUGAGGAAACAUGUCUCAGUAACAAGAGUUAACAGGAAAAAAAAACUCAUCAGACAUGCCAAAUCUAUAAUACUGUAAUGAUAAAAUUCAGAAUUCUCAAAAGAUGUUUAUAAUGAUUAAAGGAAAGCUUUUGAAAUUGUCUAUAGAAUUAGAAACUGUAAAAAAUGUCAAAGCAAUUUUAAAAAGAUAAUAGAGUUUAUAGAAAUUUAAAAAUCUCAAUGUGUAAUUAAAGACUACAAGAUGAAACUAGAAAGUAAAAGUUCAACAUGUGACUCUUCAGAGUUCAAGAAUCUACACACUGAGAGAACUGGGGGUAAGGAGUAACUGUCAGUGUUAUAGGGGCUGCAAAGUUUUGAUACUGAUAAACACACAAAUACUACUCAACAGAUUCAUGAAAUUCAACUAUUUCCACACUGAGAAAAGCUGAGUAAGGCUGUACCUACAAAUCCCCGGAAAGAAAAGUUUAGAGUGGACAGAAAAAGAAGAGUAAUGAAUCAUCAUAAUAAUAACUAGUCUAGAACGGGAAUAAACAACAGCGAAGCUAAGUAGAUGAAAAAACAUCUUUAAACAUCUUUAAAAUUUUGAGGAACUUACUCUCAGUUUAGGAUUGCUGGGUAUCUUACAAGAAUGAAGAUGAAAUGUAUUUCACAACAAGAAAAAUGUAGAAUUUAAGAAAAAUUCUUAGAGCUACCAAAGGCCCUUCUUCAUAAUCCAGAAAAAGAGUUCCAAGACAUAAGAAAGAAUGACAAGCAAUAAGAACGAUAUACAUGAGGGUAAAUUUAACUAGACAAUCAUCAUAUAAAACAAAUGUAAUUUCUAAAAUGUACAGGACAAAAUGUACAAAAAUAAUAUGUUGAGAAAAAUCAAUAUAGAUCAGUGGCAGAUGUCAAAUAUUCUAGGUUGACUGUACUAUUUUGGAGGAAGGAAAAGAUUGACUAGUCAGAAGAUGGAAUAAUAGAAAAUAAGAAAAAUCAUCUCCACUUAAAAAUCCAUGAAAAGAUAGAAAAGUAAACAGAAAACAAGGUACAAAAAACCCCCCACACGAUUAGCUGGAUGCAGUGGUACACUCGUACCACUUAGGAGGUUAAAAUGGGAAGAUUACAAGUUCAAGGGCAGCCUAGCCAAUGUAGCAAGACCUUGUCUCAAAAUAAAAGAACAAAGAGGACCGGGGAUGUAGUUCAGUAGUAGUGAGCUUGUCUUUCUGUGGCUGGACCGAGCUUCAACUUCAGGAUUACAAAUAAGCAAAAUGCAAUACUACAACAUUAGAUAGAAAUACAGUAAAUUUUGUAACAGCUUUUAUAAUAAAUGUAAAUGAAUUAAACUUUCUGGGUGAAGGACAGAUAAUUCCAAUCUGCGGUUUAAGGAAAAGUAAACCAUUUACAGGAAGAAUAUCUAAAAUAUUCAGAAACAAAAUUUGAAAGUAAUAGAAAAAAGACGAAUAUAAUAGAUUUUAACUAACCAACCAAAAGGGAGUGGAUGCAGCAGUAUAAGGAUUAGAAAACUAGACUUGAAACCUAAAUUAUUGAUUGUGAAACACAUCACCUCUAUUAAUUUUUAUAUUUAUAUGAAUUUUUAUGAUAGCUUUACAACAUGAAGACUAAAAUAGGCAUUAUAAAAAAGGAGAAAUCAAUGUGACUAAAAUAUUGACACAUCUUUCUCAGAAAAUGACAGAUCAGAUAAGAAUAAUUUGACAAAAGACGUAGAAAAUUUAACCCAAACAACAAACAGACUGGACUUAAUGGAUUUUGCUAUGGUUGCUCCCCACCAAAACUCUUGUAGAAAUUUAAUUACCAGUGUAAUGACAUGAAAAAGGAUGGCUCUUUAAGAGGUGAUAGGCAUGAGGUUCAGCAUUCCUGAAUGGAUUAAUGUGGUCUCUGGGAAUUCUCAUUUUUGUAGGGCUAAAUGUGUUAAUCUAACAGCAGGUUUUUAUAAGCAAGCCUGGCAUGUCCUCUUAGUAUCUGGCACACACGCCUCUUCUGCAUGAGUAUGCUUGUCCUUCCACUGUUUCUUCCAUAAAUUGAAGUAGCAGGUCGUCCUCACUACAGGGAUCAGUAAUAUUAAUAUAUAUGGUAAAUAAUAUGAAAUAUAUGUGUAAUCCAUUAACUAGUGAUUUCCUACUGUUCAUUUUUUUCUUCUGUAAAUCUGUAUAACUUAUACCCUUUCACUUUUUUUUUUCUGUUCUCCUUAAAUAAAAAAAAAAAGAAAUAUAUGUAAAAUAACUCUUGGAAUGCAAAUAAAGGUGUAUCUAAAGAUAUCUAUAUAAUAUACAUAUAAUAUAUAUGUAAAAUUUGAAUUGGAAAAGAGAGGUGUUAAAGAAUAAAAGUUAAUAAAGAAAAAAAGUUUUACUAGAGAGACUUAAAAAAGAUAAAUAAACUCUAAGUAAGAGUUUAGUAAAAGUUGUUUUGAAAGGCUAAAACAGAUGAAAUCUAGCAAAAAGUAGAGACAGAGAACACAUAUAAAAUAAUUUUUGGAAAAAGAAAAAUAUAAAACUGUAAACUUAGCAGUUGCUUAAAGAAAUGAUUUCUUUUUUUACAUUUAUGGUAAUAUAUUGGAAUUUUUUUUGAACUGGACAAAUUCCUAGAAAAGUUGUUAAUAUGAGAAAAUAGAAAAUAUUACAGUUCAAUAAUAUUAUACUCAUUAAAUAAUCUGCAUUGAUAGUAAAGAUCCUCCCACAAAGAAAAUAGCAGGCACAGAUUAUUUACAAAGAAAAUCUACUAAACAAUGAAGCAACAAAGAACUCUAAACUUUCACUAGCACUUUCGGAAGACAAAAAGAAGAAAAAAUUCUUUUAUAUGAUUAACACAGUUGAUAUAUCCAAAUCAGACAAGGACUAGGUAGAAAAAAGCUGUAGGCUAAUCUUACUCAUGAAUAUGGAGUCAAAACGUAAAUCUUUCAAAAUAAUGACAGGUGAAGAAAGAUGAUACACUGUCCAAGAUGGUUUCAUUUCAAGAGGUAAAGUGCAGAACUGUAAAAUUUAUAAAAGUUAUUCAUCACGCUGAAUGAAGAAAGCAUAUUGCUGAUGUUUUCUGUUCCUCACUUUCAUUUCCUCAAUGUUGUGCUUCUUAUGUGUUUGGGUUGUAAGUUUCUUCGCACUGUCAUACUUAGAAUUAAGAUCCUUUCCCUUGGAUUCAUCGCCUUUUCAUUAGGAAAUACAUUUCUCUGCUGUAAGCACUGUUUCUUGUUUUAAGAGCUACUCUGCUGGUAUUAGUAUGGUAAUACUAACCCUUUUGCUGAGAGCUUGCGUACAUGUUUUCUCUCCCCCUUUAACUGCCAGCAUUGUGUAUUCUCAUGAUUAAACUCGUGAGUCUUAAGUGAGUGGAGCUGGUUUUUGUCCUUACAUCCAAUUUGACGAUCUUUGUUACCUGGAUAAUUUACCCGUUUAUAGUUGAUGUAAUUGUGAUUUUAUUGUGUUCAGUCCUCUAUUUUACUUUUUGUCUGUCACUUGAUCUAUUUGUUCUAUGCUGUUCUUCCUCUCCUUUCUAUACCUAAUCAAACACUUUUCAUUAUUCUCUUUCUUCUGUUAUUAACCUACUUGUUAUUUAUUAUUUUAUUACUUUUUAGAUAGUUUUCCUAGGCUGGGGAUAUAACUCAGUGGCAUAGCAUUUGCUUGGCAAGCACAAGGUCUUGAGUUUGAUUCCUGGUACUUCCACCCAAAUAGUUUUCCUAGCAUUUACCACAUCCUGCUUUGAUGUAUCAGUGUCUGAUAUAAAUUAAUGGCACAUCUGGAGAUAUUGCCUGUUCAGUGUCAGAUUACCACAGAAAAGCAAAUAUAAAAGCCAGUGACAUGACGUUGGUGUCCAGCAUAUAAAAGUUAGUGAAUGUAUCUUGAUGGCUACCUCAAUGUCAUGAAUUGAUUAAAAAUGUUUAUGGGAAUUGCUGUCACAUAAAAACAUAGAAUACAUUGUAUGUGUUCAUCCACUAUAUUCACUGGAUCUGGCACCAUGCAAGUCCUGGUCCUUCUCCAAUAUCAAAAUGACACAAAAGAUACAGGUUUUCAAUUAAUUCAGGACAUUGAAGCUGCUACAAAAGUGAGACUAAAUAUACUCAUGAAAAGGCUUCCAUAAUUGCUUUUAAAAAAUGGAAUCAGGGCUGGGGGGUUAGCUCAGCUGCAUAAAUGCCUGCUUGGUAAGCACAAGGUUGUAAGUCUGAUCCCUGGUACUAAAAAAAAAAAAAAAAAAAAAAGAUAUCAGUGUGUUUGAAGUAAGGGAGAAUAUUUGAAACAAAUUUGUGUCAAUAUGUCCCUUGCUGUAAGAAGAAAUUUUUAAAACCUAACCAUUCAUCGUGGUUCGCAAUUACACCUAAUAAUUAAAGGAGCUGAACCUUCAUAUAGGUGAAUCAUACAGUCUGUACUCUUUCACGCAAAUUAUUUCUUCCGGACCUUCAUGUCUAUGAGUUCAUGCAUCUUGACUACUCAGAUGUGGUUUGUUUUUAUUGCUGAGUUGUAUUUCAUUGCACAAGUGCACCAAAACUUACUUAUCCAUUAUAGUGUUGUUCUUCUAUUUGGAUGCUAUAUUAGUCAGGAUUUUACUGGAGAAAGCAGAUCUGACAUGAGAUAUGCAAGUGUAUAAGAAAUUACAAGACUGGCUUACAAAGGUCAGCCACAGUGUUGGAAUAGGAAGUGUGCAGAGGGUGUCUGCAUGCUGGGGACUGAAGAAUUCAAUCCAAGGUCUGGGGUUCACCCUGGUGUCUUGUUCAAGUCUGCACCAGCAGGCUGAUGGGUCUGCAACAAAAGGCCAAAAGGUCUAUGCUGGAAGGUUGAAGAGUCCAUGCUGGAAAGCUGGAGUCUACAUAGGAAGUCGGGAGACGACGUCAAAACCAAAGGCAAAGACUGGAGCUUCUCCAAAGAAUGGAAUGCAUUCAUCCUUCCUCCUUCCCUUGUGUAACUCCAGGGAUGACGCACCCUAGGUGGGUCUUCUAUACCCUGGCUAUAGAGAUGCUAAACCCAUUUAGUUAAGCUUCUAAAUGUCUCAAGUUGACACAAUCAAUCAACCUCUACAAAUGCUCUUAUAAAGAAUAGAGACUUAAGCAUUUAGUAGCAUAUUUUGUGGGUAUGAACAUUCACUGUUUGGUGCUGGUAGUAGGAGUGUGUGUAUUUAUGUAUAUAUACUGAUAAUUAAAAUUUCUUGGUCAGAAGA